GGUGAACUAACAGUUGGAUGCACAAUUACCCGGAGGUCCUAGAUAGCUUAUCGGCGUAGGAACAUCGGGGACACUCCGGCACCUAUAUGACCUUAUGCGCGUGUGAGACUGGUGUGCCAUCGUUAAGUCGAUGUCAUAAAUCAGGUCA
rnacentral:misc_RNA from 1 species